UGCAAAUAUUUUCUUCUGGUCAUGGCU
rnacentral:piRNA from 1 species